UGUCCAAAAGAUCCCAUCUUAUCGCGAACCCAAAUCUUACGCCGUCCGCAACAGAGAGAAUAGGUACGCUCCUUCCUCCCAUCCAUCAUCGGACGGAUUCUACGCGUUUGGCUGCUGAGAAAGUCCGAUUUAACUUUCCCAGAAAAUUGGGUUGGAAGAAAACAAAAAGCCUCCUUGUUAUUAUCUAAUAUCGGUAUUGUCAUUGCUUUUUAAAGAUUUCUUUUUUCUUCUCGUCAUAUUCGUCUCGGCAUCAAUCAGGUCAUUAUAUGACGGUAUUGGCGUUUAGGGUUUCUGUGAGGUUUGGUAAUUGGGGGAGGUAGGGCAUUGAUGGCUGAUCGAAAUCUUGCACUUGUUAAGCCAAUAUGGAUGAAGCAAGCCGAAGAGGCGAGGAGCAAGAGUGAGGCUGAGAAAGCCGCAGCGGCGAAAGCUGCUUUUGAAGCCACAUUCAAAGAUGUGGAUAAGAAUCGAGAGAAAGAAGUGGUGGCUGGAUCAGAUAGUGAAUCUGAAGAAGCUGAGGACUUGGCGAACAAGCCCAUCGGGCCGGUGGACCCGGCAAAGUGCACUGCAGCCGGGGCUGGGAUCGCGGGUGGUACAGCAUGUGCACCGUCUUCGUUUAUGGUAGUGACUAAAGACCCUGAUGGAAGGAAGGUUCCAAAUGGUGGGGUGCAGAUUAAGGUGAAAGUUGUGCCUGGAGUGGGAGUUGGAGGAUCAGAGCAAGAAGGGAUGGUGAAGGAUAUGGGUGAUGGGACGUACACAGUUACUUAUGUGGUGCCAAAACGAGGGAAUUAUAUGGUGAGUGUGGAGUGCAGUGGUAAACCCAUCAUGGGUAGCCCAUUCCCAGUGUUCUUCAGUGCAGGUUCUAGUGCUGGAGGACUGCUGGGAUUGGCUCCGCCAUCCACAUUUCCUAAUCUAGUUAACCAAACCAUGCCUAACAUGCCAAAUUAUUCAGCUUCUGUUUCAGGGGCAUUCCCUGGACUGUUGGGAAUGAUUCCAGGCAUUGUUCCUGGUGCUUCAGGAGGGGCUAUAUUGCCAGGAAUUGGAGCAUCUCUUGGGGAGGUUUGUAGAGACUACCUUAGUGGUAGGUGCGCCAAAAUUGAUUGUAAGCUGAACCACCCGCCUCACAAUCUGCUAAUGACUGCGUUAGCUGCAACCACCUCUAUGGGAAAUGUUAGCCAAGUGCCUAUGGCACCUUCUGCAGCUGCAAUGGCUGCUGCUCAGGCAAUUGUUGCUGCCCAGGCUCUUCAAGCCCAUGCUGCUCAGGUGCAAGCACAAGCUCAGUCAAACAAAGACUCUUCUGGUUCACUUGACAAAGCUGGAAAGGCUGAUGUGCUCAAGAAGACGCUUCAAGUUAGCAAUCUUAGCCCACUUCUCACUGUGGAACAGCUGAAAGAACUUUUUAGCUAUUGUGGCACGGUUGUAGAAUGUACCAUCACUGACUCAAAGCAUUUUGCAUAUAUAGAAUACUCAAAACCUGAAGAAGCAACUGCUGCUUUGCAAUUGAAUAGUAUGGAUGUUGGAGGCCGUCCUAUGAAUGUUGAGAUGGCAAAAUCACUUCCUCAGCAACCAGCUGCUAUGAAUUCCUCAAUGGCUUCAUCAUCUCUUCCCAUGGUGAUGCAGCAAGCUGUUGCUAUGCAACAGAUGCAAUUCCAGCAGGCUUUGCUUAUGCAACAAACUAUGACCGCCCAACAGGCAGCCAACCGAGCUGCAACCAUGAAGACAGCAACAGAGUUAGCUGCAGCCAGAGCAGCAGAAAUAAGUAAGAAAUUUAAAGCUGAUGGAGUAGAAAUUGAAGAGAAGGAAACAAAAGAGAAAUCUAGGUCUCCAUCACCAUCUCGUGCAAGGUCAAAAUCCAGAUCCAGAUCACCUAUAAAUUAUCGCCGAAGGCAGAAGUCUCCUUCUUACUCUCCUCCAUAUCGCUAUCCAAGAGAUCGUAGAUCCAGAUCCCCUUUGAGAUCACGCCACUAUUCAAGCUAUGAUAAUGAACGCAGGCUAUAUAGAGACAUUAGGAAUGGUGGUGACAGAACUAGAAGGCGGGAUUCAGAUAGAUCACAUGAUCAUCAUUUUUCUACGUCAAGGAGAAAUAGGAGUAGGAGUGUUAGUCCUAGAACAAGAAAAACACGAGUUGAUUCGGUGUCACCCAAACAUCGACGAGAAAGUUCUCCACGUAGAACUCGAGCUGCGUCUAGAUCACCUGGUCAUCAUACAGGAAGUAAGUCUUCUCCAAGAAAACGCUCAAGGUCAAAGUCUUCAGAAGGAAAACAUCACUUAAGCGACAAAAAAGAUGACACCCACUAUGAAAAAGAAAAACAUGGAGAAAGAAGGCGAUCAAGGUCAGUGUCUACAGAAGGUAAGGGACAUAGAAGACGGUUAUCACCAAGAAGUCCGGAUGAAAAAAAAUCCAGACAGAGAAGGCGGUCUAGGUCAAAAUCUGUGGAAGUCAAGUACCGCUCUAAUGAGAAACCAGACGAAACAAGAGAUGAAAAAUUAAAACGUCGUAGUAGAAGGCGGUCCAGGUCAAAAUCUUUGGAAGAUAAGCGCCACUCUGAUGAGAAAACAAAUGAAAUAGAAGAAAAAUCAAAGUAUCGUGAUAGAAGACGUUCUAGGUCAAAAUCUGUGGAAGGGAAGCAUCACUUGAAGGAGUUGGGCGAAGGUAGAGAUAAAAGAUCAAAGCAUUGUGAUAGAAGGCGGUCCCGGUCAGUAUCUGUGGAGCCUAAGCACGACAGAAGACGUGGGUCAUCCCCUAGAAGCUUGGAUGACAAUAAAGUGAAACACAGAAGGCUGUCAAGGUCAAAGUCUGCUGAAGGGAAGCAUCGCUCCAAUGAUAGGGCAUAUAAAAGUAGAGAUGAGAAAGAAAAGAGUCAUAGGAGAAGACGGUCCAGGUCUACAUCUGUAGAACCUAAGCGUCGUAGAGGAAGUAUGUUAUCCCCAAGAAGUACGGAUGGAAAGAAACCAAAACACAGAAGAAGGCGCUCUAGGUCAGAAUCUUCUGAAGGCAAGCAUCCAGCUAGUUGUGGAAGGGAUGAGAAUGGUGGUGACAAAUCAGAGUAUCAUGAAGAUGGCAAUGAGAAACCAAGUUCUGUGGUGAAACAUUCAACAAAGAAAAUUGAUGAUGGGGUGGUUAUUUCAGCGGAAGAGGACUUGGACUCGAAGGAAUCAAUGCUAAAUAUGGGAACUGAAGAUAUUCCUCAUACGAAAAAACAUGGUUUUGUACAAGAUCUUGACAGUGAACGAACUUCUAGAGUCUCGUUAAAUGUGGUGGAAAGCAAAGUGGAAGUGUCUUUCACUGAGAAUCUAGCUCUUGGAACAUCUGGACUGGAAAAUCAAAAUGGUUGUGAAAAGUUAACUGAUGCGGAUGAUGUUUGCAGAACUGACUCCGGAAAGGAUUACAUCACAGUGAAGGCUCAGAAGAGAAGCUCCCUGAUACCUAAUGCAGAUAACGCAGAUAUGUUUUCUGAUGACACCAUUGCAGAAGAGGAGAACUUGUGAAAAUAUGAAACCAGACCCUGGGCUGUUAGGAUUCAAGAGUUUCUGCCGGGGGAGAUGCUGACAAGUGCUGCAGUCGCUGCACUGAUAAUAACUUGGUUUAAUUUGAGGGACUAACUGAGAAACUUGAAAAUUCUGGGGAAUGUUCUGUUGCUUCUCAUUGGAAGGGCGAUUUACUUGGAAGCUUGCUUAGCGUUUCUAUUGUUGUAUGGUCUUCAUAAGUAUACUCUAUUUUUUUUUUUUUUUUUUUUUCUUUUAAUCUUAUUGCAGGUUCUUUGGGUCUCUGAGCUGAUCUGGAUAUGGUUUAAAUAUUUCAAGGAGUGUUCUGAUAUCAUCCACAUCCAACAUUCCAGUGUUUGUAGUGAGCUUCUUUUACUGAUUGAUGUUACGGUGAUUUUGAUUGGAGCUUUCUGAGAUUCAGUUUGGCAGGGUUGAUUUUCUCUGGAUAUGAAGAAAUUGGCUUGGUUGGGUAAAUGCUACUUCUAAGGUCGAGUGAAAUCAGAUGUUGCUGGGAUGAGUUGCACCAAAAUUCCACAACAGGGUGAGCUGUGGAUGGUUAAGCACUGCUGCCUAGGCCUCAACUUGGGAAUCGAUUAUGCUUGACUACAAAUUUGGUAUGUAGGAUUCGAUUGGAAUGGACGACGAAUUUGAAGGAUUGGAAUGGACAACCAAUUUCUUCUCUCCUCGUACAUCUUCCCCUCACCCUUUCUUUUGCUCUCCACUUUGUUCUCGUUUGGUAUGUAGGAUUGGAUUGGACUGGACGGCUAAUUUGAAGGUAUAUUGGAGGUAGACGAGAGUGAUGUUUCAUUUGGAUGGGAGAGUGAUGUUUCAUUUGGAUGGGAUUUGAAGUGGAUUAUGCAUCAAGAAAAUCCUCCCUUCUAGUCCUACCAUUUUUGGAGAGCAUAUUGGAAUGGAUAAGUUUCCUUCAUGAGUAAUCCAUCGGCUGCCCUCUAGUUGGUUAUAAUGUUUUCAUUUCUUCCUUCAACAUAUCUUGGAAUUAGAGAGUUAUCCAUUCCAUUCCAAUCCAAUCUUACCAAACGAGGAUUUUUUUUUUUCCGUUUAGAUUUGUUUUCAAGAAAAUUUGUAGUUAAACCUUCGUCACUUAAUGCAAGAGAGCUUUUGCCGUAGUGACGGAGAAAUUCUGAGUUGUGGCUGCCAUACGCGGCAGCAGACUUCAAGGCUGUAAAGGACCCCUGCAUGUUUGUUCCCACUCGACGCCACCUCCUUGUGAGCCUUAAACAAGGAAUUAGAGAGUCGAGAGUCUGGCGGUGGUCUUGUUGGCGUUGAGCUGGAAAUUCAUUUUCAUACUUGAUGCUGAUUUCGGCAUCUAAAUUUCAAAUUGAAUGUCGUUUGGUCUCUAUUUUUAUGACAUUGUUGCCAUCCAUUGAUGAUGGAUGGUAUUAGUUUGAAAUUUGACACAAUAUGAUAACAAUAAUGGUUAUUGUAGAGAAAAACAAAUCUAUAAGAAUUUUGGAACACUUCUUCCUCA